AUGGAUGUCCUUUUCUCUGCAAUUGUAGGUGACCUCAUCAGCAGGUCUGUGUCCUUCAUGAUCAGCCGAUACUCCCAGCAGCAGCCUGGCACCGACAAGAUUGUGCAGAGGCUGCAGAGACUUCUAAUGAGAAUCGACACCGUCGUCGAAGAAGCUGAGGGACGGCGCAUCACCAACCAGGGAAUGCUCCGUCAACUCAAAAUGUUGAGGCAAGGUAUGUACAGAGGCCACUACGUGCUUGAUGCUUUGAGAUUCCAAGCCAUCCGUGACAAGGAGGGGGAGGAGGUGAGCUAUUCAUCAUCUGCACUGUCUAAAUUAAGGCCACCUAAACGACUUCGUGCCUCUUGCGCCGGUGGUGGUAGCAGCGACAGAGAAGCUGUACUGUUAUCUGGUGCAAACAACAGCAUACAAGAAGAGCUGCAGCGGUUGGUCGACACCCUUGAAGACACCAUGGCUGGUAUGAAGGAGUUCCUUUUCUUCUUGGAGUCGUAUCCUCGGAUACUCCGCCAACCUUAUGGCACAUAUUUGAUCUUGGAUAAUUGCAUGUUUGGUCGGCAAACUGACCUGGAAAGGGUCCUGAAUUUCUUGUUGCGUCCCAAUGCUAUGCAUGAACUGGCUGUACUUCCGAUCGUUGGUCCAAUAAGAGUAGGGAAGAGCACUCUCAUUGAGUAUGUCUGUAGGGAUGAGAGUGUGCGCGAUCACUUCUCGACGAUCCUCUUCUUUCCAGAAGGCAGUCUCAAGAAUGAAGGACUGAUCGACCUAAGAGAAAACAAUUUUAAUGGUCUAGUCAGACAUCAGAAUUGUGCUUCUCAAAAAAGGUUGCUAAUUAUUAUUGAAAUAGCUGAGGACAUUAAUGAGAGAACAUGGAGAAGGAUGAAAUCUUCCAUAACCUGCAUGACACCACGCGGUGGAAGUAAAAUUAUAAUCACCAGCCGAUCAGAUAGAAUUGUGAAUCUGGGAACAACAGAAGCACUACGACUGGACUACCUCCCGCAAGAAGCUUAUUGGCAUUUUUUCAAGUCACUCGUAUUCGGAAGCACAAACUCAGAUGAGCAGCCGAAGCUGGCCUCAAUGGCCAUGGAAAUCGCUUUGGAACAAAGACAAUGUUUCCUAAGCGCGUAUAUCAUUGCUGGGAUACUGCGAGAUAACUUCGAUGGUCGAAUUUGGCGCACAAUUCUUGAAUGUGUGAGAGCAUAUAAACAGACAAAUCUCCUUAUGUUUGACCAGCACCCAAACCUUCGUUUGCGGGAAGAUGAACCGGUAUACUAUUGGAGAUUGGGGAAGAGCCACAGAUAUUUCUUGAUAUGCAACCAUCAUCAGUCAGAUUCCAAUGAGAAUAUUCCUAAAAUCAAUGUGCAGGACAUUCUCUUAGGAAAUGGUGGUACCCUACCCCGUGGAGAAUUUGAGGCUCUUUCAUGGAGAUCUCGCAUACCACCCUACUACAACUACACGAUAAGCUGUAAGAUGCAACCACCACAACUUACAGUAGGAAGGAAGAAGCGUGUGCAUCAGGAGGGAGAACAUUUGAUUUGA
rnacentral:rRNA from 1 species